UAAUACGUAGGGUGCGAGCGUUAAUCGGAAUUACUGGGCGUAAAGUGUGCGCAGGUGGCCGCGCAAGUCGAGUGUGAAAUCCCCGAGCUUAACUUGGGAAUUGCGCUCGAAACUACGUGGCUCGAGUGUGGCAGAGGAAGGUGGAAUUCCACGUGUAGCGGUGAAAUGCGUAGAGAUGUGGAGGAACACCGAUGGCGAAGGCAGCCUUCUGGGCCAACACUGACGCUCAUGCACGAAAGCGUGGGGAGCAAACAGGAUUAGAUACCCUGGUAGUCCACGCCCUAAACUAUGUCAACUGGUUGUCGGGGAAGCAAUUCCUUGGUAACGAAGCUAACGCGUGAAGUUGACCGCCUGGGGAGUACGGCCGCAAGGUUA
rnacentral:rRNA from 1 species